AGGCAAGAAUGGGAGCUAAAGCAUCUGCAGCUGGACCCCAACCAGAGCAGUUUGCAAAAAUAAAUAAGAAGCAUGUGACAAGAAGCAGAUUCCCCAGGCUGGAGCUGAAGCCCUGGAUUUCCCCACGCACCCUCCUCUUGCUUCCUUCAGCGAGCCAGGAUGAAGAAAUACCUGCUUCUAACGUGGCUGUCCUUGGCAUCCUAUCCCACCCCAAAACAUCUUUUGAGCAGAGGAAAUAGACGUGAACUAUAAAGUGAGAGACAGUUUCUUCUCUACUCUGCAAUCUAGUAGAAAAAAAACUUUUACUCAAUGGCAAAUCAGAUAUGAAGCUGGGGGAUGUAGGAGCCGUCUUGUAAUCAUGAGAUGACAAGUAUGAGGCUGAAAAUGUGAUUCCAAACAAACGGAGGAUCAUGGAGGAGACAGAUCAUGAGAGUUUGAAACAUUGUUGGAUAGUAAAUCCAAUCUUGGACUGCCUACCUCCAGGCUUAUUUUGGGGGAAAAUUGGGGGGGGGGGGUGAAGGUUCUAACCUUUGUUAUAGGAUAGCAAAGCUUUGAUUAACUUGUGCCUGCUGCUUCUUGGAAGGCUGACUGUGCGCCUCUGAAGCUGCAGUGUUAGGAAAAACUUAGAAUAUUGUCAUGUGUUGGUUACUUUUUGUGGCUUUUCAGAAGGAUCCUAGAGAAGGGGGUGAACUCAGAUUAGUGCUCCUCAGCAUGAGAGCAGAGAGGGCAACAAAAUACAGCUUAGGUUCAGAAGUAUUCUGGCUUUAGCUCACAGUCUAAAUUGACAAAGGGUUCCAUAUUUUGGAAUUUUGUAGGGAUUAAGGGCAGUACCUCCUCACCUAAGACUAUUUCUAGAAUUGUUUCAAAUCUUUUAUGAGAGUUCAGUAGCUAAGAGAUGAAGAUCUCCAAGCCUAAAAAUUAUUUCAAGAAAUAUUCUUUGGCUAUGUUUACUCCCAGGAAUUGAUCUGAAGAAAACAGCCCAGAGGCUUGAUAUGUUUUUGAGGGCAUUUGAGGGAAGCUGGCAACUACUUCUGAUGGUUUUUACCUUCUAAGCAAUUCUCAUACCUUCCUCCCUAAGUCAAACCAAUAUGAAGUAGAUUACAAAAACUGUGGGACCCCUGAGAAGGGCAACCACUUGAAAACCUAUCUUAGAUAUGGUUAUACAGGACAGUGACAAAGCAGAUACUUUAGAGAUUUAAACUAACAGCUGCCAGACUGACUAGUCAAGGAGUUUACUUAUUGCCUGUCAAGGAAUCUGUGAUUUCUCACCAAUAAAAUUUGAUACCGGUUGUGAACUACUGACCACUGUGUGCUUCCUAUUAUCCCCUUUCUUAAUGGAAUUUUUAUUGAUGACACUCUUUUCUUUUUCAUUAUUAUAAAUAUAUAUAGGAAGAGAAUGGUUCAGAGACAAGUUAUCUUUAGCCAUACAGAUGGUCAGAUAAAAGUUGCCAUGUUUGUACUACCUAGAACAGAUAGAAAAUCACCCAGAGAUCUUAUUUCAGGCAAUAAUUGGAUGAAAUAGUGGGGUUGAAGACAGUAUGGUAAUGACACAAAACCAAACACAUAGACCAAUGGAAAAGAAUAGAGAUCCCAGAUAUGGAUCCUCAACUCUAUGGUCAAAUAAUCUUCAACAA